UUGUCUUGUCAGUCCCCUUUAGAGCAAUCUGCUGGUGGAAGGCUAGAGCAGCCAAUUGCCAUCUUUAGGCUAUGUUGGGGAACCAUCUCCUCAUGGAGCCUUGCUGUCAGUUGUUGGAGCUGUCUUUGCGGUAUGGAUUUGGUUGUUUCCAGGGCCAGCUGAGUGGCUGCCAGCUUCUCCAAGCUAGAUGCAGAACAGGCCAUCAUAAGGGGAUAUUGGUGUGCAUCAUGGUCGAUGAAAAUGAAUGAGGCAGAACGUGGGUCAACAGGAAUCCAAGAGUACUGUCUAUCAUAAUGGAAGAAGGACGCUCUUGCUCAAAUGGAAAGAUGCGGCCCCUCCUACUCAUGCCCAAUGGUUACGUGAUGUGAUGUCAUGUUUAAAUUUAGAGAAGAUUCGAUGUUCAAUCUCUGAAUCUAGUCAAGA